ensembl:lncRNA
GAUAGAAAGAAAGAAAGAAAGAAAGAGAGAGAGAGAGAAGAAAGAAAAGAAAAGAAAGAAAGAAAGAAAGAAAGAAAGAAAGAAAGAAAGAAAGAAAGAAAGAAAGAAAAAGAAAGAAAGAAAGAAAGAAAGAAAGAAAGAAAGAAAGAAAGAAAGAAAGAAAGAAAGGAAACGAAGGAAGGAAGGAAGGAAGGAAGGAAGGAAGGAAGGAAGGGAAAGAGAAAGAAAGAAAGAAAGAAAGAAAGAAAGAAAGAAAGAAAGAAAGAAAGAAAGAAAGAAAGAAAGAAAGAGAGAGAGAAAGAAGGAAGGAAAGAAAGAAAGAAAGAAAGAAAGAAAGAAAGAAAGAAAGAAAGAAAAGAGAGAGAGAGAAAGAAAGAGGGAGGGAGGGAGGGAGGAGGGAAGGGAAGGGAGAAAGAAAGGAAGGAAGGAAAGAAGGAAGGAAGGAAAGAAGGAAGGAAGGAAGGAAGGAAGGAAGGAAGGAAGGAAGGAAGGAAGGAAGAAAGGAUUAUUUCCCCACUCUCUUCUCCAGCUAAAAGGCCUAGAGCUGGUGACUGCCUACUUCCAGAGAAGACAUUAACUCCUGCUAUUUCUCCACAACCUACUGUUCUCCCAAUUGUGAGCUGCUUUUUCAGAAUACUCAUGACUGAAGAAAGGAAAAGAGAGAAUCUAUGUGGCUCUGACUCCUCAGCUAUCAUGUGGUUGAAGAUGACUCUUUCUCUUUUGAGACUUCACCAUCAAUUCAUACAGCAGAUAUCAUCGUACACAGUCUGGGUGUUGAUGAUUUGGGCCCAGAGAGACCAAGUAAGCGAAUUACCUGAAGACACAUUGUUGGUGAGUAACAAAAUACGGGGACCUGGAGCAAUACUAAUUUCACAACCCUAUUUACUCUCUUCUGGAAAGUAAGAAAAAAAAAUGGUAUGACUCUGGAAAAAAUUGAUGAAGUUCCCAGGUCUCAGAUUAAAGCAUAAUAUUGGAGAAGCAGAAACUCCGUUUAUCACCCAGUGAAGUGAAUUUGAGGAUUAGAUCUUUCUCUGUUAGUUAUAGUGCAUUAUUCAGGGCAGAUACAUGUGCCUGACCAUGUUGAUCAGAUAAAGCAGAUGACCAUUAAAGUCCCCUAUCACAGUAUGAAAUAUGACUGUAUGUUCUGCUAUUCCCAUUUAAUGGAGAAAUGUGAGAAAGCUGUUCCUUGUUGAAAAUCAACUCACAAAAUAAACAAAUAACAUUGUAUCUAUUAACACUAGCAAAUGAGAACAGAAAAUAGAUGACUGAAAAUCAUACUUUUAGCAUAACAUAUGAAUGAUGCAAAUUCCUCGGGGGUAAAAAAAAAUUAGCAAUCUGUUCAUACUGGUUGCCAGAAAGUUCUUGAAUUUAAAUAUGAAUACUUCUAUUGUGACUACGAAGGCUGACAGAGCUGUAUGUCUGAAAUUUAAUCUGACCAGUGAUGUUAGGAUAUAACAGCAGAUAUUCGGGACUGAAAGUGGAUACUCAUCAAUACAAAUACUACACUGAGAUGUAAUAAAUAUCUCCUUGCCAACUUUUUUCUAUGAUGUCACUGUGAGCUUUAUGCAAGAAUAUUUGUUACUUUAUAUUUUAAAAACCUUUAAAAUAAAUGAUAUAUGGAAUGAAAGAUUAGCAGUAGCAGAUAAAUCAUCACCAUUUGAUCAUUUAUAUUUGACGAUGGUAAAGUGAUAGCCUUAAUGUCAUUCCAUGCAUGUGAAGCACAUUGAAAUUAUUAGAAACAUAUCAAGAAUUCUGAAUGAAACAACACACCUAAAUCUGAAGUCUUCUCUCUACUCUCCUUAUCCUCUAAUGCUAUGUAUAUCUGGGCUGUCUAAUUAUAACACAUCUAGGUAGGUGAGAAACUGUUAUUUCAAGAUGAUGCUGUGCAAAAUUCUUGGUUAGAUUUGUGUUUAAGGUCUAAAUGAAUGCUAUUAGUAUAUUAUGGAGAGUGUCUGGCUUGGAACAAAGUAUUGACAUACUUUCUAGAAACAGAAUUAGUAGGAGCAAAACUCAUUUCUGUAGGAGAUCUGGACUCUUUGAGCAGUGAGAAAUGUCAGGGUCACAUGUGUAGUCGGAGAAUGUGAAGGAGACAAGGACCAUAGAGACAGAAAGGCUGAUUCUUUCCUCUGCUCAAACUUGUCCAAGGUACUUCCUAACAACAAGAAAAUGGCAGAACCUGAAAAAAGGAAUGUUCGUAAGUCUGAAUAGCAGGAAUGGAAUCAAAUUAAACAUCAAAAUGCAGGGUUCACAAAAGUAUUUUAAAUAUAUAUAUAUAUGUAUUUUUUUUCUUUUAAGCAAGCAACAUUUGUCUGCACUGUUCUAUGUUUAUGUUUACGUGUGUGUUUUGCAGUAGACUGGUAAUAAGAAAGAAUAAAAUCACUUGCUUGACUGAAAGAGUCUGUUAAUAAGUAGGGGAGAGAGACAUGUUCACUUCAUGGAUAAACAUAAUAUGAUGAAAAGAGACCCUAUGCAAAAGGAAGGAUUAGAAGGGUGUCUGUGAGAAAGAAUGAUAGUCUGAUACUAAUAAAAAGCAUUGAUUAAGGAGAGCAAUGUCUUUUCUUCAACUUGAGCUACUGAGUUUAAUAUUUGCUCUUUCUGACUAUGCUGAGAUCAGAGCACAAAACUUUUCCCUAGCCAGGUAGUUAUUAGAGAAACCCUGAGCUCUACUGGUGAAUCUACAAUCACCACUUGAUGAUGGCAAAUGGGAUUUAUGAUUAGACUAUGAAAUAGAUAAGAGUAUCUUUAACUAUCUUUGAGAAGUGCAUGGUUGUGCAGACAGGUAAUGCUGUGGUCCUUACCUGUCUUAGACGGGACCCUGCCUGAGGAAGACUGAGUUAUAGCCAGGAUUCCUGUCUAGAACAACUGUUUAGAAGCAAGAGGUGGGAG